AGCACGUGCUGCCCAUAAAACCGUGUUAUGACGAAAUCAAAGACAUGGCGGACUUAUAAAAAUAUCCCAUUGCCAUUUUAAUAUUUAAUUUCAUUUGUGAAAUUUACUUUUGAGGUGUGCUAGUAAGGACUACGAAACAGAAAAAAAUUUGGUUGCAGUCAACCUGGUAUUCCUAUCCUCUAUCUCCUUUGGCCUUUGAGAAUUUUAACAAUUUUCUCUCCACUCUCGUGACUUCAUCACUCACGAAGUCACUCUCAUACCGGGGAAGGGAUAUCACUUUCACUCUAUAAAAAUCUGCAGGAUAGUUGACCGAUUAUGUGGGGGAGACGAAAUUUGUCUUCAAGACAUCUUAAAUGGUGCAAAGUCCAGGUAUGAACAAUAUAAAAGUUACAAUAAUUAAUAAAAACAGUGUUUCAUAUUUACUUUAAUGAAAUGAACGUUA